rnacentral:lncRNA from 1 species
UUUGAGAUGAUGGAGGAUUGAACGCCAAAAAUUCGUAAUCAUAGAAAAUUCCGGAGCGCCGCGGCGGGGGAGGGCCGCGCUCGGCGCCGGCACGAGUGCCGCUGGCCUGAGCCGAACCUCUAGCCUAUACUGCCGCCCCCGCGGAAGCGUACGCCGACUGGGAAGUGAAAGGCCUGAUAACCUGCAUUUCUAAGAAGCUCCAAGAUGUUGCUGCUAGUUCCAGGACCACACUUUUGAAUUUGGAGGCUGAGAUGAAGAAAACCUGCUUGAUAUCAUACAGUCAGGAGUCAACUGAGUUGCGGCUUUGAACAUAGGUUUAUCUGAUGCCAAAGUUUGUGAUGCUCUUCAACUAUUUAGGGUACCUCAGAGUGUGGAUUUUGAAUCACCUGUAUCAGCAUCAUUUAAAAAUAUGGAUUCUGUGGUGCUGACUAGGUCUCUGAAGUCAGAAUAUGAAGUGGAGCUAGGAAUCUACCUUCUUAACAAGUUCCCUAGAUCCCUAAGGGUAUCCCUGAAUGAUACAGUUUUGUUUGAAAGACUGAAAAGCCCAAACCUGGCACUUUUGGGAAAUAGCAGUAAAUCAUUGAUAUGUGAAGGUUCCCAGCA